rnacentral:rRNA from 1 species
UUCAAGUGAAGAGUUUGAUCCUGGCUCAGAUUGAACGCUGGCGGCAUGCCUAACACAUGC